AUUAUACUCUCUCCAUCCCAAAAUUCUUGUCUUAGAUUGGUCUAGAUACGGAUAUACCUAAUACUAAAACGUGACUUGAUACAUUUGUAUUUAGACAAAUCUAAUACAACAAUUUUGGGAUGGAGGAAGUAUAUA
rnacentral:pre_miRNA from 1 species